rnacentral:tRNA from 1 species
GGAGAGGUGGCCGAGUUGGCUGAAGGCGCACGCCUGCUAAGUGUGUGUAGGUUAAUCCCCUACCGUGGGUUCGAAUCCCACCCUCUCCGCCA